rnacentral:sRNA from 2 species
AUGGUCCACGCGUCCACUCCGGUUCUGAGCGCGCCGUCCACACCCACCUGACGACUGCUCGCUACGUUUUGUUAGCC